CUACGGGUUGCACCAGUGAGGAAUAUUGCACAAUGGGGGGAACCCUGAUGCAGCAACGCCGCGUGGAGGAUGACGCAUUUCGGUGUGUAAACUCCGUUUAUAUGUCAAGAAAAUGACGGUAGCAUAUGAAUAAGCACCGGCUAACUCCGUGCCAGCAGCCGCGGUAAUACGGAGGGUGCAAGCGCUACUCGGAAUCACUGGGCGUAAAGGACGCGUAGGCGGGUUGGAAAGUCAGGUGUGAAAUCCUACAGCUUAACUGUAGAACUGCACUUGAAACUUCUAAUCUAGAGUAUGGGAGGGGGAGAUGGAAUUAGUGGUGUAGGGGUAAAAUCCGUAGAUAUCACUAGGAAUACCUAAAGCGAAGGCGAUCUCCUGGAACAUUACUGACGCUAAGGCGUGAAAGCGUGGGGAGCAAACAGGAUUAGAUACCCGCGUAGUC
rnacentral:rRNA from 1 species